ACAGUGGCUACAAUCCAGCUUUUUUUUUUCUUUUUAACAUGUAACCAACCUCAUCGAAUUCCAUUGCUGGCUUCAGAGAAAAACUAUUUCUCUUUUCCCAUGUAUUCAGAUAGGAGCUCCCGAGAUAAAACUGCCUCUAAGUCAGGUAAAUCAUUGUAUUAAAGAACAUAAGGAGGAGGAGGACAAGAAAAAACAUUUAUUAAAGAAAAGAAAGGAAAAGCAGGUGUCUUUCUGCUUGUGUGGGAGGCGCCCUUAGUCCAGGACUCCUGCGGCUCUUGGUGUCUCCCGGGCUCGCCACACCUGGUGUAACAAGAAUUGUUUUCUCAUCUGAAUUUCUGGAGUAUACUUUUUCCUUUGUCAUAAGUGGAAAGGUAAUCAGCAACGUUCUCACACCUACACUGUCCUUAUUGAACUUUCCAAAAGGGGAACGUAUCCAAUAAAAUAAAGCACUAAUUUACUUUCA
rnacentral:lncRNA from 1 species